AACGAACGCUGGCGGCAUGCCUAACACAUGCAAGUCGAACGAGACCUUCGGGUCUAGUGGCGCACGGGUGCGUAACGCGUGGGAACCUGCCCUUAGGUUCGGAAUAACUCCCCGAAAGGGGUGCUAGUACCGGAUAAUGUCUUCGGACCAAAGAUUUAUCGCCUUUGGAUGGGCCCGCGUUGGAUUAGCUGGUUUGUAGGGUAAAAGCCUACCAAGGCGACGAUCCAUAGCUGGUCUGAGAGGAUGAUCAGCCACACUGGGACUGAGACACGGCCCAGACUCCUACGGGAGGCAGCAGUGGGGAAUAUUGGACAAUGGGCGAAAGCCUGAUCCAGCAAUGCCGCGUGAGUGAUGAAGGCCUUAGGGUUGUAAAGCUCUUUUACCCGGGAUGAUAAUGACAGUACCGGGAGAAUAAGCUCCGGCUAACUCCGUG
rnacentral:rRNA from 1 species